rnacentral:rRNA from 1 species
UACGAAGGGGGCUAGCGUUGCUCGGAAUUACUGGGCGUAAAGCGCACGUAGGCGGCGAUUCAAGUCAGAGGUGAAAGCCCGGGGCUCAACCCCGGAACUGCCUUUGAAACUAGAUUGCUAGAAUCCUGGAGAGGUUAGUGGAAUUCCGAGUGUAGAGGUGAAAUUCGUAGAUAUUCGCAAGAACACCGGUGGCGAAGGCGGCCAACUGGACCAUUACUGACGCUGAGGCGCGAAAGCGUGGGGAGCAAACAGG